ensembl:lncRNA
GAUGCAGGAAGAGGCAGGUUAAAUCCCUUGGUCAGGAAGAACCCCUGGAGGAGGAAAUGGCAACCCACAACAGUAUUCUUGCCUGGAAAAUUCCAUGAGCAGAGGAGCCUGGGCUUCUAAAUAUGCGAUAAGAAGAAACGGUUUGUUAGACUAAAGAAAAUCAGAAGUUCCAGAUCACAUGUCUACUGUUAUCAUCUAUGUGAAGGACUGCAGCUAGAAAUCACCUCCAGAAUUCCUUCUGGCAAAAAAUUAUAGUCAUGUAUGGAUGUGAGAGUUGGACUGUGAAGAAAGCUGAGUGCCGAAGAAUUGAUGCCUUUGAACUGUGGUUAUGGAGAAGAUUCUUGAGAGUCCCUUGGCCUGCAAGGAGAUCCAACCAGUCCAUUCUAAAGGACAUCAGUCCUGGGUGUUCUUUGGAAGGACUGAUGCUAAAGCUGAAACUCCAAUAC